CUAUUUCAGAGACUGAAAAUCAUCAAUAAACCAAAAGUUUGGUUUAGCUCCAACCCCAAUUAAGCAGACCUGAGCAGCUGAUCAAGUAUCACCAGAAACUCUGCAGAAGGUUGGUCCUCCAUGCCCAGGACUGGACACCAGUGUUAUGCUGGUGAAAAAACCGCCAGGCUAAAGCAUUCAAAGUGGAAACUUCUG